UGGGAAGAUUCUGGAGCCUUGCUGAGCCUGGAUCUCCUGUGGGGAUAAUGAAAGCAAUUACCUCCAUCUUGGGGGCUGCCUGAGCCAGAAAUGAGGAAAGAUGCUCAGAGCCACAUAUCACUUCCCAGGAGGUGGCCCCAUUGCCCGGACAUCUGUUUCAGCAGAAAUGGGUCCACGAGGCCACGGAGGGCCUGCCCUGCCCGACUGUGAGGACUUUCCCUGACAUGGGAGGUGGCCGUUUGCAGACCAGAAAUCAGAAGUGAGAGAUGGACGCGUCGCCUCGUGCAGUUGGGCACUUUACGGAGCUUUCCGGUGAUGAGAAGAAAGAGAGGCAGGAGAGCGUCUCCUCUGUGAGGGCUGCAGGCUUCAGAGUGACCUCGGAGAGCCACCCCUGCCCGGCACCCUUCCCAGCGCUCGAUCCUGCAUGAGACGAGGGUGACCCUGAGCUGUUGGAAAUGCCACUGAGAAACGAACCCGCCCUGGGGAAGGAUAGGAGGCCCCUAAUCUGGUUUGGAGGCUCAGAAUGCGGGCUCUAGGGGCAAUGCCACUGUUCACACUCCCAGAAAGUUGAAGAUGAAAAGGACCACGGCUCCUGGCUGGCUUACUCAGUGGAGCAGGGGACUCUUGAUCUCGGGGUUGUGAGUUCGAGCCCCACAUUGGGUGUAGAGAUUCCUUAGAAAUAGACUCUUUAGGGGCGCCUGGGAGGCCUAGUCAGUUAACCGUACGACUUCUGCUCC